UCCUGGAAUAGCUCAGCCAGUAGAGCCUGAAACUCUUAAUCUUAGGCUUGUGGGUUCAAUCCCCACGUUGGGAG